UUUAACCUUGUCAAAUGUAUUGCAUCUCUCUCAGUGUUAAUAUUUGUUAUGCUUGCCGUGUUUCAGGACUUAACAGAGGAAGAUGUGUGGCAGAAUGAUAUAACGAAAGAAAGUGUUAAAUGCAUGAGUCUACGCGCAGACAUAGAGUUAUUUGCUCUUAUCGCCUUCGACAAGGAUAAAGACCCAGAAAGCAGCGAUUUUCUAGAAAAAACCAAAUGCCUGCUUGAUGACUGCCCGAAAGACUAUGAUGAAAACCCGGACGAAGUUUAAGAACGAAAAUAGGCUGGACACUCGAACAGCUUCUCCACAAACAGUGAUGCACAACAAAAUCUUUGAAGACCUUUGUAAUAAGUUUAUAAUAGCCAUUGAAAUAUGUAUUUAAUCGUUGAAAAUUACAAUUAA